UACAGAGGGUGCGAGCGUUAAUCGGAAUUACUGGGCGUAAAGCGUGCGUAGGCGGCCUGUUAAGUCGAACGUGAAAUCCCCGGGCUCAACCCGGGAACUGCGUCCGAUACUGGCAGGCUUGAAUCCGGGAGAGGGAUGCGGAAUUCCAGGUGUAGCGGUGAAAUGCGUAGAUAUCUGGAGGAACACCGGUGGCGAAGGCGGCUUGCUGGACCUGGUCUGACGCUGAGGCGCGAAAGCGUGGGGAGCGAACAGG
rnacentral:rRNA from 1 species